AUGACCUCUAAAUGCAGCGGGGACCAUGAUAUUUGGAUUCCAUUUUUGAGCACACAUGCAUGGAUUAGAUCCUUCAACUUCUCGAUAGUUGAUGAUUGGAGAGCAUGGCAUCUCGGUGGUCAGGCGGGAGGAUUUGCAAUCACAUACGCCAACCAUAUGACAUUUGCGACAUUAAAGGGUGGUGGGCACUCAGCCAUAGAAUAUCCACCUAGGGAAAGUCUUGCCAUGGCUCAACGCUGGCUGGAUAAUAAGCCUUUGUGA
rnacentral:rRNA from 1 species